rnacentral:pre_miRNA from 1 species
GAUAAAGAGGCAUAAUCCUGAGUCCCACUUAAGACCUAACAGAUCUAAAACCUCUGUAAGUGGAGUCCAGGAAUCUGCAUUUU